AGCAGCCGCGGUAAUUCCAGCUCCAAUAGCGUAUAUUAAAGUUGUUGCAGUUAAAAAGCUCGUAGUUGAAUUUCGGGGUUCAUACGUUGGUCGGGCUUUUUGGUCUGUACUGGCGUAAUGGAUUCCUACCUUCUGAAUAACCGGCAUGCCAUUAAUUUGGUGCGCCGGGGAAGCAGGACUGUUACCUUGAAAAAAUUAGAGUGCUUAAAGCAGGCUAUCGCCUGAAUACAUUAGCAUGGAAUAAUGAAAUAGGACGGCAUGGUUCUAUUUUGUUGGUUUCUAGGAUCACCGUAAUGAUUAAUAGGGAUAGUUGGGGGCAUUAGUAUUCAAUUGUCAGAGGUGAAAUUCUUGGAUUUAUUGAAGACUAACUUCUGCGAAAGCAUUUGCCAAGGAUGUUUUCAUUAAUCAAGAACGAAAGUUAGGGGAUCGAAGACGAUCAGAUACCGUCGUAGUCUUAACCAUAAACUAUGCCGACUAGGGAUCGGACGAUGUUAAUUUUUUCAAUGACUCGUUCGGCGCC
rnacentral:rRNA from 1 species